rnacentral:rRNA from 1 species
GAUGAACGCUGGCGGCGUGCCUAAUACAUGCAAGUCGAGCGAACGGACGAGAAGCUUGCUUCUCUGAUGUUAGCGGCGGACGGGUGAGUAACACGUGGAUAACCUACCUAUAAGACUGGGAUAACUUCGGGAAACCGUAGCUAAUACCGGAUAAUAUUUUGAACCGCAUGGUUCAAAAGUGAAAGACGGUCUUGCUGUCACUUAUAGAUGGAUCCGCGCUGCAUUAGCUAGUUGGUAAGGUAACGGCUUCCCAAGGCAACGAUGCAUAGCCGACCUGAGAGGGUGAUCGGCCACACUGGAACUGAGACACGGUCCAGACUCCUACGGGAGGCAGCAGUAGGGAAUCUUCCGCAAUGGGCGAAAGCCUGACGGAGCAACGCCGCGUGAGUGAUGAAGGUCUUCGGACCGUAAAACUCUGUUAUUAGGGAAGAACAUAUGUGUAAGUAACUGUGCACAUCUUGACGGUACCUAAUCAGAAAGCCACGGCUAACUACGUG